GGAGUUAAAGAUGCCUUAUGCUUGUGAGAGACCUAUGUCUAUGGUUGUGGUUGAGACAUUAACUCUCCAUAACCAAGAUGUAGAGGAGUUGGAAGACGCAUUCGCCAAGACAAAGCAAGAGAAGGAUAUGUGGGAAGAGCAUUUUCAUGCCUUGACCCGAAAGCAUGAAGAGUUGCAGCUUGAGUCUAAGGACAAAGAUGCACUUAUUGAGCUUCUUGAAGACCAAGUAGUGAAGAUACAAAUAGAACCAGAGGUUUCAUCUUCCUCUAGUAUACCUCCG
rnacentral:lncRNA from 1 species